CACGAUUAAUUUUUUUGUUACAACUUAAUCAAUUGUAAGUCACAGUUGCAAAUUUUAGGUCACAUAUUAUAAAUUUAGUCACAGUCACAUAUUCGGCCACAUAUUAUUUACCGAUUAUAAAUUAACAAUUUAUUGAUCAUAACAUAAUUGAUCACAAACACUCUUUCCACCCACUGCAACACUGCCAAUCACCACCUCGCUAAAUCCACCACUCCGCCCGCUUUACCAACGCCAAAACCACCUAAAUUCCCAAUAACGAACGACCACCACAACUCCCAACAACCAAAAAAACACCACCACCCCCACCACUAACCACACUACCGCAUCACCACCACCACCACCCCAUAACCUGUAAUAGCACUACCGUAACCCAUCGUCGCCAAAACGAUUGCCAUAGAUCCAUUGAAUCGCAACCCACCACAGAUCAACCAUCAUCACCACAACCCAACACCGUACUGCAAUCGCCAUCAACCACCGCACCUCACCUCACCAAAUCCACCAUUCUCUAUUGAGAACACCACCACCACACAGAUCACCAUCCAAACCCCACCCAAACUGCCACAAAUCUCCACCACACAAAAACAUCAUCCAAACCCAAAAAAUUGCCACCAACCCAAAUUGCCUCUCCUUCGCGUGUGCUUGUGAAGAGUCGUCGAUCUGCUUUGCAGUAUCAUUUCACCAUAGUUGCUCCCGGUGAUUCGUGGACCACAACUCACAGUGGAUCUGCUGCAGAAAUAGAAGAGGAUAGGAUAGGAGAGGAGAGGGAGAGUUGACGGUGUCUUUGGAGUAGAGAGUGGUGACGGCGACAUUGCUUCAAUUGGCUUCACUCCAGGCUGACAAUCUCACUUUAUUUCCCCAUUGUUGAUAGUCAGCGGUUGAGAGAUGAGAACAGAGAGAAAUGUAGAGAGAGAGAGAGUAUUGAGAAUUAAUUAGGAUUUGUUUGUAAUGGAGUGUAUAUAUUU
rnacentral:lncRNA from 1 species